GAUGAACGCUGGCGGCGUGCCUAACACAUGCAAGUCGAACGGAGUCGUUUUGGAAAUCUCUUCGGAGAUGGAAUUCUCGACUUAGUGGCGGACGGGUGAGUAACGCGUGAGCAAUCUGCCUUUAAGAGGGGGAUAACAGUCGGAAACGGCUGCUAAUACCGCAUAAAGCAUUAAAUUCGCAUGUUUUUGAUGCCAAAGGAGCAAUCCGCUUUUAGAUGAGCUCGCGUCUGAUUAGCUAGUUGGCGGGGUAACGGCCCACCAAGGCGACGAUCAGUAGCCGGACUGAGGGGUUGAAGGGCCACAUUGGGACUGGGACCCGGCCCAGACCCCUACGGGGGGCAGCAGGGGGGAAUAUUGCGCAAGGGGGGAAACCCUGACGCAGCAACGCCGGGGGAUUAAAGAAGGCCUUCGGGUUGUAAAGAUCUUUAAUCAGGGACGAAACAAAUGACGGUCCCUGAAGAAUAAGCCCCGGCUAACUACGU
rnacentral:rRNA from 1 species